UGGGGAAUAUUGCACAAUGGGCGGAAGCCUGAUGCAGCAACGCCGCGUGCGGGAUGACGGCCUUCGGGUUGUAAACCGCUUUCGCCUGCGACGAAGCGUGAGUGACGGUAAUGGGUAAAGAAGCACCGGCUAACUACGUGCCAGCAGCCGCGGUGAUACGUAGGGUGCGAGCGUUGUCCGGAUUUAUUGGGCGUAAAGGGCUCGUAGGUGGUUGAUCGCGUCGGAAGUGUAAUCUUGGGGCUUAACCCUGAGCGUGCUUUCGAUACGGGUUGACUUGAGGAAGGUAGGGGAGAAUGGAAUUCCUGGUGGAGCGGUGGAAUGCGCAGAUAUCAGGAGGAACACCAGUGGCGAAGGCGGUUCUCUGGGCCUUUCCUGACGCUGAGGAGCGAAAGCGUGGGGAGCGAACA
rnacentral:rRNA from 1 species